rnacentral:rRNA from 1 species
GGGGAAUCUUCCGCAAUGGGCGAAAGCCUGACGGAGCAACGCCGCGUGAGGGAUGAAGGCCUCUGGGCUGUAAACCUCUUUUAUCAAGGAAGAAGAUCUGACGGUACUUGAUGAAUAAGCCACGGCUAAUUCCGUGCCAGCAGCCGCGGUAAUACGGGAGUGGCAAGCGUUAUCCGGAAUUAUUGGGCGUAAAGCGUCCGCAGGCGGCCUCGUAAGUCUGUCGUUAAAGCGUGGAGCUUAACUCCAUUUCUGCGAUGGAAACUGCGAGGCUAGAGUGUGGUAGGGGCAGAGGGAAUUCCCGGUGUAGCGGUGAAAUGCGUAGAUAUCGGGAAGAACACCAGUGGCGAAGGCGCUCUGCUGGGCCAUAACUGACGCUCAUGGACGAAAGCCAGGGGAGCGAAAGGGAUUAGAUACCCCUGUAGUCA